AUGAGCCAAGGAGAGCAGGUGGAGCAGCACCUUUCCAUCCUGAGAGUCCAGGAGGGAGCCAGCGCUGUCAUCAACUGCACUUACACAGACAGUGCCUCGGACUAUUUCUCUUGGUAUAAGCAAGAACCUGGGAAAGGUCCUCAGUUCUUCAUGGACAUUCGUUCAAAUGUGGACAGAAAGCAGAACCAAAGACUCACAGUUUUACUGGAUAAGAAGGCCAAACACUUCUCCCUGCACAUCACAGACACUCAGCCUGGAGACUCAGCUAUGUACUUCUGUGCAGCAAGUACACACUGCCCCACUGGCACCUGCUGCCUGUCCUCAAACCAUGGGGCUGUGUCCACAUCCUGUGUCACGGGCCUUCCAGGGCAGCAUUUGCCAGUUGCUAGUUUGCAAGUGCCAAGUAUAAUGUAGACAUUAAAAACACAAAAUAAGAAAGUUAGCUUCAACUCCCUCAGACAAUUUAGGACAGUUUUCUCCAUCCUUAAAAAAAAAAUAUUUUAUCAAAGAGCCAGCCACUGAGUUCAUGUCAAAGACAGUCCCUGCUCCCCGUAUUAGGGAAAUCACUUGGAGACUGAGCUGCCAUGGGCUACAUCUGCGCAGGGGUUCUAGGUUAUCUCCAUGAAUGGUUCUUGAUUGGAGUAUCAGUCUCAGAAAAGGCACCUGGGCCCAGAUUUUUGGUUCUGUUGUUCUCCCUGUGGAGCUUCUGUCCCUUCCAGGUCUUUCUAUCUCCCCCUUUUAUAUAAGAUUCCCUGCACUCUGCCCAAAGUUUGACUAUGAGUCUCAGCAUCUGCUUUGAUACUUUGCUGGGUAGAGUCUUUCGGAGGCCCUCUGUGGUAGGCUCUUUUUCUGUGCCCUGUUUUCUCCUUUUUCCAAUGUCCAUGCCCUUAGUCUUUCUGAGUGAGGAUUGAUCAUCUUAUCCAGAGUCCUCCUUCUUGCUUAGUUUCUUUAGGUGUACAGAUUUUAGCAUGAUUACCCUAUACUAUAUGUCAGUGAGUAUAUACCAUAUAUGUCUUUCUGCUUAUGGGAUAUCUCACUCAGGAUGAUUGUUUCUAGAUCCCACCAUUUGCAUGCAAAUUUCAUGAUUUCCUUGUUUUUAAUUGCUGAGUAGUAUUCCAUUGUGUAAGUAUACCACAAUUUCUGUAUCCAUUCCUCAACUGAGGGACAACUGGGUUGUUUCCAGCUUCUGGCUAUUACCAAUAAAGCUGCUAUGAACAUGG